rnacentral:lncRNA from 1 species
ACAAAUAAAGUGCCUUUUGUGCAGCAGAUCAAUGAAGUCAGCCCUAUUUUAGACAAAUGUAUUUGUUGCCAUAGCAAAGUUUCCAGGGAGACCAAUAGGUCGGGUUAAACGCGAAGAGAGAGAGAGACAAAAAAGAUGAGUUAAAAAAAAAGAAGCAACUGGUGUUCUUUCUGGUUCUGCGGAAACGCACAGUUUGAUCUUAUUGGUCAGCUGCAUCUGUGUGCCAUCUAUAAAACGCACCACAGGCGCUCCGGAGCCGAGACCGUCUGAGGGCGCAGAGCAGCGCCGCGGAGCACACAGACUUAUCCGAGGAGAGAGAGGGGGGGGAAAAAAGCACACCUGUUACUGAAGAAGCGAAAGCAAAGUGCAAAAAAGAGGACUGCGUCUUCCUCUGUAGUGCUACACACCUGACUGCACCUACUCCACACAU